rnacentral:lncRNA from 1 species
CACAGUUGUUAUUCUCAAUUCAACUAAUUGUAAAAAUGACAUACAUCAUAAAGAUUCUCAGAAAUUGACUGCAGUCACGGAAGUAAUCAUCAUCAAACCUAUUUGUUUCAGAUGUUAAAGUGACUUCUAGAAAGAUCAAAGCACUCGGACUCUGUUAUCCUGUCUCGAAGGAUUAAAAUACCUUUGCAACCUACAGUGAUGUUAAAAGCAACAAAAACACAAGGACUUAAGUGCAGCAAUGGGUAGCUCCGAACUUGCGGACGAUGCAACAGGUUGGACAGGUUUGCUCAGUAUAGAUCAGGAAACUCAAAUUACACCUUUAUUUUAAUCAAGAAUAAAAAAAGAAGCUUAUGACAAAUACUUUUACUUGAAAUCCUAUGGAAAUAAGUUACACUUUCAAUUCUCUGUAGAGACUAAUACUCUCUCUUUUUGAUGAAGAACGUACCAAGUCAUGCUCAUAUGUAUAUGCACGCAGAAGUUGCGUGACCAGGUGCGAUUUCGACCUUGAAUACAAAUGUGAUCUUUAAUAUUAAGCUUCUGAUAUUAUCUCAUUAGAAUAAUAGUUUGCACGCACAUAUAAUGGAUAUUUUGAUGUCACUUCCUGGGAUAUUUAUUCUAAAGGAAAUACUUCCGAUUUGUGUUAGUGUUGAAGAUAAGGUUUUUACUUUGUAAAGAUCUAGUACGUUAUCUGACAUUAAUCUUCGUGAGAUUUAUGUUGAGAUAAAUGUAGAUCAACUACAAUAAAGUAGAUCAAUUUACUUUUAUCCAAUGUCUAAGAAAAAUUUUCUAUGUCAGAUAACGUUUCUACGUACAUGCUACAAGAGGAUUCUAAGAUUCUAGAUCUUCUAUAUGAGCCCUCCGAUCAACCACUUAGCAUCAUGAGCAUUGAAGUUAUCCACAUUUUCAUCCGCAUCAGUGACACUUUAUAUCAUCAAACUCAUUCUAAUCCGUUCAAGAGGCAUUAAAUAAUAAAAACAUUAAAAUAUGUUUACAUAAACGUUCACUUACUUCAUUUACAUAAAAUACUUGUGACUAAAAAGAACUCUUUGAUGAAUAAAACGAUUGGUUGUUCGAUAAAUAGCAGCUUAAUAUCA